GCCAAGCCUAGCUCAGGCUAUAAAAGGACUUACAGACACUGUAGUUACUUUUUUAGUGUAAGUUAGUAUUUUUCGCACUAUAAAGCGCACUUAAAAUAUUUUAAUUUUCCCAAAAAUUGACAGUGCACUUUAUAAUGUGGUGCCACUCACUGAAGUACAGCGUUACAUAGAAGUUUCAGUGAAGUUUCUCCAGCACAGAGGCUGGAGCAGUGUUAGCAUUAGCAGCUAACCGCAAUGCUAGCUCUUUUGUCGUUCAGAGAUGAUUGAAUUGGUCAGUUACAAGCCAAAUAAAGGUUCUCUGGACAGAGAAAGGAGUCACACAUGGGUGAACCUCAGGAAAGCCUUCUCUAUAUAGCGAGCUAAAAGGAUGACUGGUUUGCUGGAGGGGCACCUGAGGACAGACGCUGUGGGAGCACAGGAUGAAGAAAAAAAAAAAAAAAAGCAGAAGCAGGGGCCAGUAAACCCGGGCCAGCUUUUGCUGAGGCCGUUAGCCACAAUUCACGGAGGCGCUGGAUGUUUCCCACUAGGUUCUGGUCGGCCUGGAGACGGCAACUUAUUAAUCUUGUGAUGGAGGGCCAGCUGCAGCGGUGGCUGUUACCAUCCCACCACCGACCUGCACACACUUUUCUUUUUUUCACCUCUUCCCUGCUUUUUCUCCCUCACUUUUUCUUUUUUUCAGUUUUUUUUUAGAGUGGCUUUAUUUCUGAGCUUCAGUAAAGCUGCACUACGCUUACAUACAGUUCACUACAGAAAAUGACUCAAGAGUAAAGUUUGUUCAUUUACAAGCUAAAAAGCAAAAAAGCUAACAAGUGUCAUCUUUAUGUUUUUGUGUUUUUUUUAUUAUAUUGUAUUUUCUGUGUAUUUUUUUAUAUUCAUC
rnacentral:lncRNA from 1 species